CGCCACCCGUCUGGGGCCCGAAAGGAGGGAGCUUUCCCUCUGUCCCCCAGCCUUUGGACUGUCACCAAACAAGCCAUUCGUUCACCAAAUACUUUUUAAGCGCCUACCAUGUGCCUGACAAGGGAUAUGUAACGGUGAGAAAAACUAGGUGUGGUCCAGGCCCUUCAGGGACUCAGGGGCUCGUGGAAGAAGUGGAUAUUGAAGUACUUAUCACACAAAGGAGGAUAAAAGUACGAUAGCGAUAUCUACCACGAAGCUGUUGUUCCACACCAGAACCAAAUGAGCGCAAGAUCUGACAAAAAAAAAAGGUUCAUCUUUUAUUCUUCCAAACACUUUCAUUUAAAUCAAGAGGAUGGGAUGUGGUUAUUACUGUGUUUUUAGACAAAAUCAAUGGUUUCUGGCUCUGAGAUGUUGCAUACACCCUCUCAGUCCCUGUAUCCUGAGAUGGAGUCACCUGAGAAUCCACAGCAAGUCCUAACCAGGGAUGGGUCUGGGUGAUUAAGGAAGAUUGGCUUCAGAACUGGGCCAGGGGCACUGCUUUGCUUUUGCUGUUUUGAUCAGCUCUCUGCCUGCAGGAGACGAGGAAAACCAAUGGGAACAGCCCAGUAAAGGCGCCAUUCCCCAUUUUACAGCUGGGGAAACUGAGUUACAGAGCUUUUCUGCACUGAGUCAUCAGGAGCAAAUGCUAGAUCAGAUAGGGUCUCUCUCUCUGCCACUCAGGCCAGAGUGCAGUUGACGCAGAGCAGGGGAGCCCUGAAAUGGAGCAUAGUGUGUCCGGAACUGGUGGGUUCUUGGUCUCACUGACUUCAAGAAUGAAGCUGCGGACCCUCGGGAUGAGUGUCACAGUUCUUAAA
rnacentral:lncRNA from 1 species